rnacentral:rRNA from 1 species
UUCGAUCAUGGCUCAGAUUGAACGCUGGCAGGAUGCUUUACAUGCAGGAGUCAGGCAGCAGCACGGACUUCAGUCCUGGUAGCGAGUGGCGAACGGGUGAAGUAUGUAUCAGGGCAAUGCUAAUGGCAGGGAUAACUACGCGAAAGCGUAGCUAAUACCGCAUACUUCGAAGGAAAGCAGAGGAUAUCCCGGGCCUCGCACUAUUAGAGCGGCCGAUAUCGGAUUGGCCUAGUUGGUGGGGUAACGGCUCACCAAGGCGACGAUCCGUAGCUGGUUUAAGGGGACGACCAACCACACUGGGACUGAGACGGCCAGACUCCUACGGGAGGCAGCGUGGGAAUUUGGAUAAUGGGAAACCUGAUCCACAGCCAUCCGCGUGUGCGAUGAAGGCCUUCCGGGUUGUAAAAAGCACUUUUGGCAGAGAAAAGAAAACAGCACGGGAUAAUACCCGUGCAGCUGACCACCUGCAGAAUAAGCACCCGGCUAACUACGUGCCAGCAGCCGCGGUAAUACGUAGGGUGCAAGCGUUAAUCGGAAUUACUGGGCGUAAAGCGUGCGCAGGCGCGGUUCUGGAGAGAAAGAUGUGAAAUCCCAGGCUUAACUUUGGAACUGCAUUUUUAACACCGACCUAUGAAUGUGUCGGAGGAGAUUAGAUUCCCGUGUAGCAGUGAAAUGCGUAGACAUGCGGAGGAACAUUAGCGAAGGCAGCCUCCUGGGAUAACACUGACGCUCAUGCACGAAAGCGUGGGAGCAAACAGGAUUAGAUACCCUGGUAGUCCACGCCCUAAACGAUGUCAACUAGCUGUUGGGGCCUUCGGGCCUUGGUAGCGCAACCUUCCCAACGCGUGAAGUUGACCGCCUGGGGGAGUACGGUCGCAAGAUUAAAACUCAAAGGAAUUGACGGGGACCCGCACAAGCGGUGGAUGAUGUGGAUUAAUUCGAUGCAACGCGAAAAACCUUACCUACCCUUGGCAUAUCUGGAAUCCCGAGAUUUGGGAGUGCUCGCAAGAGAACCGGAACACAGGUGCUGCAUGGCUGUCGUCAAAACAAUGUGAGAUGUUGGGUUAAAAAGUCCACAACGGUACAACCCUUGUCAUUAGUUGCUACGAAAGGGCACUCUAAUGAAGACUAUGAUAAACCGGAGGAAGGUGGGGAUGACGUCAAGUCCUCAUGGCCACAUAUGGUGGGACUUCACACGUCAUACAAUGGUCGGGACAGAGGGUCGCCAACCCGCGAGGGAGCCAAUCCCAGAAACCCGAUCGUAGUCCGGAUCGCAGUCUGCAACUCGACUGCGUGAAGUCGAAGUCGCUAAACUAAUCGCGGAUCAGCAUGUCGCGGUGAAUACGUUCCCGGGUCUUGUACACCGCCCGUCACACCAUGGGAGUGGGUUUUACCCGAAGUGGUUAGCUAACCGGCAAGGAGGCGAUUACUACGGUAAGUUCAUGACUGAAAUUCAAGUCAUGUUAACA